rnacentral:rRNA from 1 species
CCACAAUGGGCGCAAGCCUGAUGGAGCAACACCGCGUGAGUGAAGAAGGUUUCGGCUCGUAAAGCUCUGUUGUUAAAGAAGAACACGUAUGAGAGUAACUGUUCAUACGUUGACGGUAUUUAACCAGAAAGUCACGGCUAACUACGUGCCAGCAGCCGCGGUAAUACGUAGGUGGCAAGCGUUAUCCGGAUUUAUUGGGCGUAAAGAGAGUGCAGGCGGUUUUCUAAGUCUGAUGUGAAAGCCUUCGGCUUAACCGGAGAAGUGCAUCGGAAACUGGAUAACUUGAGUGCAGAAGAGGGUAGUGGAACUCCAUGUGUAGCGGUGGAAUGCGUAGAUAUAUGGAAGAACACCAGUGGCGAAGGCGGCUACCUGGUCUGCAACUGACGCUGAGACUCGAAAGCAUGGGUAGCGAACAGGAUUAGAUACCCUGGUAG